UAAAAAAUAAAGAGUCGAGCCUGCCCAGUGAUAGAUAUUUAACGGCCGCGGUACUCUGACCGUGCAAAGGUAGCAUAAUCAUUUGCCUUAUAAUUGAAGGCUAGUAUGAAUGGUUUGACGAAAGCAAUACUGUCUCUUUUUAAUUUUAUAAAAUUUGAUUUUUAGGUGAAGAAGCCUAAAUAAAAUUGAAAGACAAGAAGACCCUAUCGAGCUUAAAAAAAUUUUGUUAAAAUAAAAUGACUAUAAAAGAUCGUCUAUAACAAAAAAUUUUAGUUGGGGCGACUAAGGAACAAAAAAGCUUCCGCUUUAUUAUAAACGCUUAUAAGCUAUGAUCCAAAAUUCUUGAUUAAAAAAAUUAGCUACCGUAGGGAUAACAGCAUAAUCUUUUUUGAGAGUUCUUAUCGAAAAAUAGGUUUGUGACCUCGAUGUUGGACUAGAAUAUCCUAAAUGAUGCAGAAGUCUUUAAGGGUUGGUCUGUUCGACC
rnacentral:rRNA from 1 species